rnacentral:piRNA from 1 species
UAUCGCCUUUACAAUAUUGCGAGCAUU